CAGUCGCCGCGGGAAUACGGAGGGAGCUAGCGUUGUUCGGAAUUACUGGGCGUAAAGCGUGCGUAGGUGGUGGUUUAAGUCCGUUGUGAAAGCCCUGGGCUCAACCUGGGAAUUGCAGUGGAUACUGGGUCACUAGAGUGUGGUAGAGGAUAGUGGAAUUUCCGGUGUAGCAGUAAAAUGCGUAGAGAUCGGAAGGAACAUCUGUGGCGAAGGCGACUAUCUGGGCCGACACUGACACUGAGGCACGAAAGCGUGGGGAGCAAACAGGAUUAGAUACCCCCGUAGUCCCUGUCUCUUAUAC
rnacentral:rRNA from 1 species